rnacentral:rRNA from 1 species
CCUACGGGAGGCAGCAGUGAGGAAUAUUGGUCAAUGGGCGCGAGCCUGAACCAGCCAAGUAGCGUGAAGGAUGACUGCCCUACGGGUUGUAAACUUCUUUUAUAAAGGAAUAAAGUGAGGCACGUGUGCCUUUUUGUAUGUACUUUAUGAAUAAGGAUCGGCUAACUCCGUGCCAGCAGCCGCGGUAAUACGGAGGAUCCGAGCGUUAUCCGGAUUUAUUGGGUUUAAAGGGAGCGUAGAUGGGUUGUUAAGUCAGUUGUGAAAGUUUGCGGCGCAACCGUAAAAUUGCAAUUGAUACUGGCAGCCUUGAGUACAUUAGAGGUAGGCGGAAUUCGUGGUGUAGCGGUGAAAUGCUUAGAUAUCAGGAAGAACUGCGAUUGCGAAGGCAGCUUACUAAACUGCCACUGACAUUGAGGCUCGAAAGUGUGGGUAUCAAACAGGAUUAGAUACCCGAGUAGUC